AGUAAUGCUACAAAUAUUUGUGUGUGUGGCUGUUUGUGCUUGUAGCUUAACAUGAAAUGGCAUCUCUCUUUGACAUUUGACAGGAUUAAGCCAUCAAGGACAUUCCUCCGGGAACAGCAAGACUCGAAUGGCGCAGCAAAGGUAGAAGUUCCAACGUUGACCUACCGGGAAAGAGCUAUCCGUCAGCAUUCCCAUUAAUCUCAAUGACAGUUAUUCGGCUGGUGCAUUCAGUCCCGACAGAAUGCCACAUGGAUGCUGCCAUCUUUGCUUCAUGGGCACUCAAAUUGCCAUGUGUCUGAUCACUCCUAGCAGCAGACAGAGGUUUUCAAUGGGGUUCAUGUCUGUAGAUUGGGCUGGCCAUGACAGGGUCUCGAUCCGGUGGUCCUCCAUCCACACCUUGAUUGACCUGGCUGUGUAGCAUGGAGCAUUGUCCUGCUGGAAAAAACAUUCCUCAGAGUUGGGGAACAUUGUCAGAGCAGAAGGAAGCUAGUUUUCUUCCAGGAUAUCCUUGUAUGUGGCUUGAUUCAUGCAUCCUUCACAAAGACGAAUCUGCCCGAUUCCAGCCUUGCUGAAGCACCCCCAGAUCAUCACCGACCCUCCACCAAAUUUCACAGUAGGUGCGAGACACUGUGGCUUGAAGGCCUCUCCAGGUCUCCGUCUAAGCAUUAGACGACCAGGUGUUGGGCAAAGCUGAAAUUGGACUCAUCAGAGAAGAUGACCUUACUCCUCUACGAUCCAAUCCUUAUGGUCUUUUGCAAACCUCAGCCUAGCUCUUCUAUGCUUCUCAUUGAUGAAGUGCUUCUUUAUAGCUUUGCAUGACUUCAGCCCUGCCCCUAGGGGCCUGUUUCGAACUGUACACUUCACCCUAGCUGCUGUUUAACAUUCUUUUUGUAGGUAACUUUGUAGGUCAUCCUACGGUUGUUGAGUGACAUUCGAAUGACUGUCGUUUUCACCUUUUGCCGGUCUGUAGCUUUGUUGUCCCCAAUGUCUGCUGCUUGACCUUGUUCUUAUGAACCGGCGUCUUUGAAAUUUUAAGGAUGGAAGCAUCCUGAUGUUCACUGUAUCCCUUUGCCAGUAAAGCCAGAAUUGAACCCUUCUUUUCUAGAGUGCUCAGUUCUUCUGAUCAACUUCUUUUGAGGGUUCCUCACUGUCGCUAUAGACCUAAGGGUGAUCGUGCCUUUUCUGUGGUAGGUCUAAAUGUCUGGAACAGUCUCCCAUUCCAUGUGAGGUCAGCUUCUUCAUUAGCCAUUUUUAAAUCUUCUUUGAAAACGUACUUUUAUUCUUUAGCUUUUGAGUAGGUCCUUGAAUAGGAUGAAAUAGGUAAA